UGAGCGCGCGGAAGGCCGCGCCGGGCUCCGCCCACACGAGCGGCGAGCCCUCCCUCCGCAGGCAGGGGGCGCCCGUGAGCGCGCGGAAGGGGCGCUUAUUCAUACCCCUGACCUAGUCACUUGAUGAUGUCUUUCUCUGUUGCCCAGGCUGUAGUGCAGUGGUACAAUAACAGCUCACUGGACUGCUGGACUCAAGUGAUCCUUCUGCCUCAGCCUCCUGAAGAGCUGGGACUACAGGGUGAUCACAGACAAAGGAGCCAGUGACAGCAUGGGGAGCUGCAACAACACCAGCAAUGCCAACAGUCUGCACAUGUCACCAGCUCAUUGUUGACCAGGAUGCCAAGGCGGUUAUUGGAAAAAAAGGUUCCUUGUGGUUCUUGCCUGAUUGCUGAACUUCGAUUAUGAGAGCUAUCUCUUGAUGUUCCAAAAAAUAUCCCCUAAACUAAGGCAUGGAAAGAUGGCACAAUGGUCCCCGACCAAGAAUCCUGGUAGUUCAACAGGAUGGACCUGGGAAAACACUCAUAGCCCUGAUCAUUUCAUAAAGAAGUUUCUUCACAUAAGACACAGUCUUCAAUUACAAGAAGUCUGAAUUUGCAACACAGAU